rnacentral:rRNA from 1 species
UGCAAGUCGAACGAUGAAGCCCAGCUUGCUGGGUGGAUUAGUGGCGAACGGGUGAGUAACACGUGAGUAACCUGCCCUUAACUCUGGGAUAAGCCUGGGAAACUGGGUCUAAUACCGGAUAGGAGCGCCUACCGCAUGGUGGGUGUUGGAAAGAUUUAUCGGUUUUGGAUGGACUCGCGGCCUAUCAGCUUGUUGGUGAGGUAAUGGCUCACCAAGGCGACGACGGGUAGCCGGCCUGAGAGGGUGACCGGCCACACUGGGACUGAGACACGGCCCAGACUCCUACGGGAGGCAGCAGUGGGGAAUAUUGCACAAUGGGCGAAAGCCUGAUGCAGCGACGCCGCGUGAGGGAUGACGGCCUUCGGGUUGUAAACCUCUUUCAGUAGGGAAGAAGCGAAAGUGACGGUACCUGCAGAAGAAGCACCGGCUAACUACGUGCCAGCAGCCGCGGUAAUACGUAGGGUGCGAGCGUUAUCCGGAAUUAUUGGGCGUAAAGAGCUCGUAGGCGGUUUGUCGCGUCUGUCGUGAAAGUCCGGGGCUUAACCCCGGAUCUGCGGUGGGUACGGGCAGACUAGAGUGCAGUAGGGGAGACUGGAAUUCCUGGUGUAGCGGUGGAAUGCGCAGAUAUCAGGAGGAACACCGAUGGCGAAGGCAGGUCUCUGGGCUGUAACUGACGCUGAGGAGCGAAAGCAUGGGGAGCGAACAGGAUUAGAUACCCUGGUAGUCCAUGCCGUAAACGUUGGGCACUAGGUGUGGGGACCAUUCCACGGUUUCCGCGCCGCAGCUAACGCAUUAAGUGCCCCGCCUGGGGAGUACGGCCGCAAGGCUAAAACUCAAAGGAAUUGACGGGGGCCCGCACAAGCGGCGGAGCAUGCGGAUUAAUUCGAUGCAACGCGAAGAACCUUACCAAGGCUUGACAUGUUCUCGAUCGCCGUAGAGAUACGGUUUCCCCUUUGGGGCGGGUUCACAGGUGGUGCAUGGUUGUCGUCAGCUCGUGUCGUGAGAUGUUGGGUUAAGUCCCGCAACGAGCGCAACCCUCGUUCCAUGUUGCCAGCACGUAAUGGUGGGGACUCAUGGGAGACUGCCGGGGUCAACUCGGAGGAAGGUGAGGACGACGUCAAAUCAUCAUGCCCCUUAUGUCUUGGGCUUCACGCAUGCUACAAUGGCCGGGACAAUGGGUUGCGAUACUGUGAGGUGGA